rnacentral:lncRNA from 1 species
CUCCUUGCAAUAGGAAAAAAAAAAAAAAAGAACAUGGGCUUUUUAAGUCUAGUAUAUGUCCUAUUCUUCUUUUUUGGAGACAAAGUAUCCUGCCAAUAUGAAACUUAUCUAUGGGAUGAAGAUUAUGACCAAGAACCAAAUGAGGAUUAUGAACCAGAAAUCCAAUUUCGUCAACAUGUAGAAUAUGGAGUUCCUUUUUAUCAGCAUAGUUUAGGUUGUGCCAGUGAAUGCUUCUGUCCAACUAACUUUCCAACAUCGAUGUACUGUGACAAUCGCAAACUCAAGACUAUCCCAAAUAUUCCAAUGCAUAUCCAGCAACUCUACCUUCAGUUCAAUGAAAUUGAGGCUGUGACUGCAAAUUCAUUCAUCAAUGCAACUCAUCUUAAAGAAAUUAACCUCAGCCACAACAAAAUUAAAUCUCAAAAGAUUGAGUAUGGUGUGUUUGCAAAAUUUUCAAAUCUACUACAACUUCACCUAGAGCAUAACAAUUUAGAAGAAUUUCCAUUUCCUCUUCCUAAAUCUCUGGAAAGACUCCUCCUUGGUUACAAUGAAAUCUCCACAUUACACACAAGUGCCAUGGAUGGGCUGGUAAACUUGACUAUGCUCGAUCUCUGUUAUAAUCACCUUCAUGACUCCGUGUUAAAAGAAAAAAACCUUGCCAAGAUGGAAAAAUUAAUGCAGCUCAACCUAUGUCAUAACAGAUUAGAAUCAAUGCCUCCUGGAUUACCUUCCUCACUUAUGUAUCUAUCUUUAGAAAAUAAUUCAAUUUCUUCUAUACCAGACAAAUACUUUGAUGAACUUCCAAAACUUCACGCUCUAAGAAUGUCACACAACAAACUGCAAGACAUCCCAUAUAACAUCUUUAAUCUUUCCAACCUUAUAGAGCUCAACGUCGGACACAACAAAUUGAAGCAAGCAUUUUACAUUCCAAGAAAUUUGGAACACCUAUACCUAGAAAAUAAUGAAAUAGAAAGUAUGUAAAAUUUUAUAUAUUUUAAUGAACAAGAAAUGUAUUUUGCCUCUUUAAGGAAUAAAUUGUCAAUAAUCUAUGCUUCAUAAAUUAUGAGAAAGUGCUGCUUUGAAAUUGGCUAAGGAAAAGGUAGAAAUUGACCCCAGAAAAAGGUUUUCCAUUAAGUGUAUGUCUUUCCUAUUAAAAUUUUAUUAUCUUGAAUAUUAGGAAAUUGUACUAAUAGAGUAUAUAAAGAAAUAUAAAUAUAAGUCCCCUGAGUAGUGGGACUAUGAAUGAUUUUUAUUUUAUUUGUUUCUAUUAAGAAUUUAUUAAGUAAUCAGAAAAGUCAGUAAAUUUAUAUUAACUUUGGAAACGAAAUUCAUUUAUACUUUCAUUUUCCUUAGCAUCAAAUAAUAAUUGAACCUAAAACCACUUAUAAAUAUUUUAAUAAAACUAUUCCAUGUAACAUAAAACCCUACAUAGAAUUAUGAAUAUAAACUAGUUUUAAUUUUUAAUUCGUAUUUUUCAGAUAUCAAUGUGACAAUGAUGUGUCCUUCUAUUGACCCACUACAUCUUCACCAUUUAACAUACCUUCGUGUGGACCAAAAUAAGCUGAAAGAACCCAUAAAUUCACAUAUCUUCUCCUGCUUCCCUCAUAUACAUAGUAUUUAUUAUGGUGAACAAAGAAGCACAAAUGGUCAAACAAUACAACUGAAGACCCAAGUUUUUGGGAGAUUUCAAGAUGAUGACGAAGAUGAUGGGGAUGAUCAUGAUAACACUCCUGAAGGCCAAGAAACAGAAGGGACAGAAGAACACUUCAACCCUCACUACUAUGAAACUCAAGAAUGGCAAGAAAUUAUAUAGGUAUAUGUUUAUGACUUCAUAAAAUUUAUAACUAACUGAACACAUAAUUGUGCAAAAUAAUAUAUCUAGAAUUAUGUAUUAGUAUAAAACCAGACUUGCAUUUAACAAUCAACUGCAUCAUUGCAUAGCAUUAGAACUUACUCAAAUGACAUAGAUCUUUAGAAAUAUCAAUUAGAAAUAGUGAGAAUAAAAAACUAAACUUCAAUGGCUUCUUAUACUUUUUUCAAACUUUUAAACAUCAUCAAGCUGGAAAAAAAGUGAACAUGUCGAUUCUCUUAACAGUAAUUUCCACAGAAUGAUUAAGAAAAUAGCAUUAGCCAGGAGACCAGAGUCAAGUCCAUUCCAUCACUCUGAGGACAUCUGAUAACAGUUGGGCACAUCAGUGUAAAAAGCAAGCAUUCAUUUAAGUAAUACACUGUCUUCUUCCACUCUUUCUUCAGACUUCAAGCUUGUAGUUGUUACUCAUUCAUUACGGUACCCUAGGAUUACUAUUAGGAGCACAGAAUAUGUUUUAUUUUUAAGAGGCCAUCUUACUAAGAAUCCAAAGCACACAGAUUUAUGAAAUCACAUGUUCACACUUUUCUCUUAAAGCAUCAAACAGGUAACUAAAAACCACCAGAUUAUUUCAGAGCAAUUUGUCUUUUAGGAAAAUUUAGCAAUAGUCGAAAAUCUUUAUUGUGUUCCAUUUUCUCUCUCUCUCUCUUUUUUAGUUAUAUAAAGAUUUGCUGAUAAAUAACUGCUUUGUUCACAAAGUUAAAUUAAUGUUGCCAAAAUAAGUCAUUUUAUAUAAUAAAAAGCCC